UACGAAGGGGGCUAGCGUUGCUCGGAAUCACUGGGCGUAAAGGGUGCGUAGGCGGGUCUUUAAGUCAGGGGUGAAAUCCUGGAGCUCAACUCCAGAACUGCCUUUGAUACUGAAGAUCUUGAGUUCGGGAGAGGUGAGUGGAACUGAGAGUGUAGAGGUGAAAUUCGUAGAUAUUCGCAAGAACACCAGCGGCGAAGGCGGCUCACUGGCCCGAUACUGACGCUGAGGCACGAAAGCGUGGGGAGCAAACAGG
rnacentral:rRNA from 1 species